UUGUACACACCGCCCGUCACACCAUGGGAGUGGGUUGCAAAAGAAGUAGGUAGCUUAACCUUCGGGAGGGCGCUUACCACUUUGUGAUUCAUGACUGGGGUGAAGUCGUAACAAGGUAACCGUAGGGGAACCUGCGGUUGGAUCACCUCCUUACCUUAAAGAAGC
rnacentral:rRNA from 4 species